AAUUUAACGGCCGCGGUACCCUGACCGUGCAAAGGUAGCAUAAUCAUUUGCCCUAUAAUUGAGGGCUAGUAUGAAUGGUUUGACAAGAGCAAUACUGUCUCUAUAAAAAUUGAUAGAAAUUAUUUUUUAGGUGAAGAAACCUAAAUAAAAUUAAUAGACAAGAAGACCCUAUCGAGCUUUAAAUCUAUUCAAUAAAAUAAAGAAAAUAAAAUAUAUUUCUGGUUAUGAAAAAUUUUGGUUGGGGCGACUAAGGAACAAAAAAAGCUUCUUUAUGAACUUAAAAUUUAUGAAUAAUGAUCCAUUACUUAGUGAUUAAAAGAAUUAGUUACCGUAGGGAUAACAGCAUAAUCCUUUUUGAGAGCUCAUAUCGAAAAAAGGGUUUGUGUCCUCGAUGUUGGACUAGAAUUUCC
rnacentral:rRNA from 1 species